rnacentral:rRNA from 1 species
GAUGCGACCUCAGCUCAGGCGGGGCCACCCGCUGAGUUUAAGCAUAUCAAUAAGC